rnacentral:rRNA from 1 species
GUCGAACGCUGGCGGCGUGCCUAAUACAUGCAAGUCGAACGCAGUGGGGACGGGUGAGUAACACGUGGGUAACCUCCCAUCAGAGGGGAAAACAUUUGGAAACAGGUGCUAAACCGAUAUUGAUGGCUGGACCCGUGGUGCAUUAGCUAGUUGGGGAGGUAACGGCUCACCAAGGCCACGAUGCAUAGCCGGCCUGAGAGGGUGAUCGGCCACACUGGGACUGAGACACGGCCCAGACUCCUACGGGAGGCAGCAGUAGGGAAUCUUCGGCAAUGGACGAAAGUCUGACCGAGCAACGCCGCGUGAGUGAAGAAGGUUUUCGGAUCGGAAAACUCUGUUGGUAGAGAAGCGGUAUCCAACCAGAAAGCCACGGCUAACUACGUGCCAGCAGCCGCGGUAAUUC